AAGGAGGUCACGUGGGAUUGCUUGAAAAUGGCGAAACGAAACUUGUGAAUCGUGCAUUUGCUCUUCUUGGUAGCUGCCAGAAAAUCGAAUCAAGCUUAUGGGACACUGGAUUACAGGUUGCUGCCACUACUCCAUGUGCCCGCAAUUGUCUUGCGUGUAUGAUUACACUAACGGCGUCGCCCACCACGGCGGAAGUGUUUUGCGUACACGCGUUUCAGCAUGAAGCCUGCAGGUGGACGUAAAUUGUAGAAGGCAGCUAGUGGGGGAGAAGAUCAUGGUCAUAGGUCAUGUGACUCCUGGAGCUCCCUUGUGGAGUACUUUUCAGAACACACACACAUACAGUUUGCUCACAGAACCAACGAGUAGGAUGUUGCUUGAAUACUGAGAGAAAAUGGCGUAACACAUACAAAUAUCGUGUGACACAUAUGACAAUAAAAACAUUUUUCACGAGGGAUGCAUGAAACACUGUCGCAAUAUUGUGUGCAUGAACCAUUGUGUGUGACACAAGCCGUGGGGGCACACCGCCUCGGACACAUUUUGGGAAGCAUAAAACACAGUAUAUACAGAGCUAGUAUGGUGGAUGCUUCUUUUUUCUUUUUGGCCGUUAUGAGACAUCUUCGGCCGUAAUGAGACUACCUUCGGCCGUAUUGAGACUUUGGCCGUAACGAGACACUUGGGGAUUAAAGGAUUUUCGGCCGUA